GCCCUUCUUCAAAUUUGCAAUUUGAUGUGAAUCACCUCGGAGCUUGGUAAAAAGAGGAGUUA
rnacentral:tRNA from 1 species